GAUAUUUUAACUGUUAGAGGUGAUUUAGUCAAGUUCGUUAAUGGCGAUAUUGAUUAUGUAUACCCCACACAUCUUAUUUCAUUUGACCGUUUAUAUCCAAAUCCACAUUUAUCCAAAUCCAAAGCUGCUUUAACUCUUAUUCUCUGCAUUGUGCUUAUCAUCUCCCUUUCCCUUGCCGUCCCAGGACAUGGUAUUAUUAUCUAGAACACCUGAUUAUUUAUACUGUAUUGCUAUCUAAACCGGCUGUUUAUGCAUAUUUUAUUGUUAUGAAGACAAUGUCAAGCCAGACAGAAAUGUUUUAAUAUAGAAAACGUAAGAGAUUGGGUGUAUAUAUACCCAACACACCUUAUUGCAUUUCAUCUAUCUUGCUUGCAGAUAUAUACCCAACGCAGCAUAUUUCAUUUCAUUGCAGUUAUUUCCAAAUCCAAAGCCAUGGUUUCUUCUUCAUCCAAAUCGAAAGCUGUUUCAACUUUUAUUCUCUGCAUUCUUCUUAUCAUGGCUCUUUCCUUUCCUCUGUCAGCGCAAGGAAAAUUUGUACGAGGAUUACUUGGGCGAGGAGGGUAUAACCAGGAAGAGUCCAGUGCUGACACACCAUAAGACUUAUUACCUACUCAGCUUACUACUUAAAUAAAAUGGAUUAAGCACUGCUUAGUCAUCAGCUGGGAUAAUAAUGGGACUGUUUCUCUAAACUGGACAUGGAUGCUUAUUUACUUUAUAAUAUGAUGGAAUUUUAUUAUUAAAUUUUUA